GGCCACUUAACUGACUGAGCCGCCCAGGCGCCCCAAGGACGGUUUUCUUUAAAAUGAUGGUGGGAUCUCAUAUGGCCAUGUUCAAGAUCAGUGACGUUUUCAGAAAAGAGUAAGAAUCGAUGCAACUGCAGUGGGAAGCCUGGAGCAAAGCCUGAGGGUCAAGUUUGACAGAGCUCAGGACUGCUCUGGAUGCAUGACAGACCUUGGCUUCACCAGACCCCAAGCAUGACCUCAUUUUCUCAUAGAGAAAUGCUUCUUUAGCAAGGACCUUACAAUCUUCUAUGUAAAAUAAAAAUUGUCCUUCUUGGAUAUAUUCCUGCUGGAGUCCUGAAAAGCUGGAAUUCGUUUCGAACACCAUAUAUAUCUAAGUUGUUUGAAGAUAUUGUUUCAAAAAGAUGCCUCAGGAACCACUUAAGAAGAAUACUCAGCUUCAGAUCCGUUCUGUAACGUUGGCACACACCAAGGAGCCAGAAGCUAUGCGUUUCUUUUUUCUGGAGCACUCAUCUUUUUGGUAUGCUGGCACAAUUGUUUGCAAGCUCUCAUCAUCAUGGGGAAGUCAUCUAUUAAGAACCAUCUGCUGAAGAGAAUUCCAGUCCCUAAUAUUACAUCGCUGCUGGACCUGUCCAUGUGCUUCCCCACUGCCCACCACUACCUUUCUCACGUUGCUUCUUUGUGUCUGUGCAUGGAGAACAAACAAAUGUACGGGAUUUGUUUUACUUAAGACUUAGCGUGGUGGAGCUAAAAGUGUAGUUCACUGCCUCUCAAACGUCAACGUGCAGAGGAGUCACCUGAGACUCUUAUUAAAAUGCAGAUUUGGGGCGCCUGGGUGGCUCAGUUGGUUAAGCCUCUGACUUCAGCUCAGGUCAUGAUCUCAUGGUUUUUGGAUUCCAGCCUUGAGUCGGGCUCUGUGCUGACAGCUCAG